GAUGAACGCUAGCAGCAGGCUUAAUACAUGCAAGUCGAGGGGCAGCAUGAGUGUAGCAAUACAUUUGAUGGCGACCGGCAAACGGGUGCGGAACACGUACACAACCUUCCUAUAAGUGGGGAAUAGCCCAGAGAAAUUUGGAUUAAUACCCCGUAACAUAAUGAUGUGGCAUCACAUUAUUAUUAUAGCUUCGGCGCUUAUUGAUGGGUGUGCGGCUGAUUAGAUAGUUGGCGGGGUAACGGCCCACCAAGUCUACGAUCAGUAGCUGAUGUGAGAGCAUGAUCAGCCACACGGGCACUGAGACACGGGCCCGACUCCUACGGGAGGCAGCAGUAGGGAAUAUUGGUCAAUGGACGCAAGUCUGAACCAGCCAUGCCGCGUGAAGGAUUAAGGUCCUCUGGAUUGUAAACUUCUUUUAUCUGGGACGAAAAAAGGCGAUUCUUCGUCACUUGACGGUACCAGAUGAAUAAGCACCGGCUAACUCCGUGCCAGCCGCCGCAGUAAGAC
rnacentral:rRNA from 1 species